rnacentral:rRNA from 1 species
CAGUCGCCGCGGGAAUACGGAGGGUGCAAGCGUUAAUCGGAAUUACUGGGCGUAAAGCGUGCGUAGGCGGUUCGUUAAGUCUGUUGUGAAAGCCCCGGGCUCAACCUGGGAAUGGCAAUGGAUACUGGCGAGCUAGAGUGUGUCAGAGGAUGGUGGAAUUCCCGGUGUAGCGGUGAAAUGCGUAGAGAUCGGGAGGAACAUCAGUGGCGAAGGUGGCCAUCUGGGACAACACUGACGCUGAGGCGCGAAAGUGUGGGGAGCAAACAGGAUUAGAUACCCGAGUAGUCUCUGUCUCUUAUAA